CACGUAGGGCGCGAGCGUUGUUCGGAAUUAUUGGGCGUAAAGAGCUCGUAGGCGGCCUGUUGCGUCCGCUGUGAAAGCCCGGGGCUUAACCCCGGGUCUGCAGUGGAUACGGGCAGGCUAGAGGUAGGUAGGGGAGAAUGGAAUUCCCGGUGUAGCGGUGAAAUGCGCAGAUAUCGGGAGGAACACCGGUGGCGAAGGCGGUUCUCUGGGCCUUACCUGACGCUGAGGAGCGAAAGCGUGGGGAGCAAACAGG
rnacentral:rRNA from 1 species